rnacentral:lncRNA from 1 species
ACAAUUUUGAAGAUGCCUGCAUUGACAUGGUCCGUAAAACUAAAAAACGUCGACUGGCCAGUGAAAGCGCAGACGAAACAGCAAAGAAACGAAGAUCAUCAACCCCUCCUAUUUAUGGUGAUUUCUCCAAUGUGAUCAUUCCAGGGAAAAAUUCUAACACAAAGAAAAUUCCCCAACCAAAAAAACAAGAAUCUCCAAAGACAUCUGGUCCCAAAAAUCAAGAAUCUCCAAAGACACCGGGUCCCAAAAAUCUAGAAUCUUCAAAGACAUCGCGUCCCAAAAAUCAAGAAUCUGCGAAGACAUCGGGUCCCAAAAAUCAAGAAUCUCCAAAGACAUCGGGUCCCAAAAAUCAAGAAUCUCCAAAGACAUCGGGUCCCAAAAAUCAAGAAUCUCCAAAGACAUCGGGUCCCAAAAAUCAAGAAUCUCCAAAGACAUCGGGUCCCAAAAAUCAAGAAUCUCCAAAGACAUCGGGUCCCCAAAAUCAAGAUUCUCUCAAGACAUCAGAUCCCAAAACACAUCAACAGCAACCAGACAUGAAAAAGCAGCGGCAACCUUGUCAAUGUCCGGUUCCUCAGCGCGACUAUCACAAUUGUGCCAGUGCACCAGCAAUAUCCUUAAAGUCGGUAGCCGCUGCAUUAUGUUAUGCAUCCCGUGCGCAAGAGAAGAGUUACUCGCGAGAGGAAAGACACCACAAAGAAGUCUGCUCAAAACUCGAUGAAAUUUUAAAGGCGGUGAAAGGUUUGAAAAUCACCAACCCAGAAACUGGUGGGAGUGGACCUGCUGCGAUACCUCGCCGCAUUAUUUCCGACUCAGAUGUCGAUCCUGAAGUUCUUGAAGGGCUCCCAAUUUUAAGAACGAAAGUCUUAAAGAAGAUUGUCCGGUUAUUAGAUGAAGAUUCUUCAUUCAAAGACAAACUAAUUGCUACUAUUGUAAAUGAAAAAAUAACCAAAGCCGCCUCAUUUCCCACAGCUACUGCCCGUCAAGUUCUGGCGGAACUUAUUUCUCCCGGAAAGGCAAAGCUUUUUUCUUGGGAUGGAAAGAAAAGAAAUGGUAUCUGCAAAAUUGCUUUCAGCAAACUUCCAUUCAAAGAUAUCGUAUAUGAAGCUACUAGAUACCUCCAUCAUCCGACAGUGAUCCCGGCAGGAUUUCUAGAUUUUUCUUUGGGCCAGUGGUUCUCCCAAGUGAGCAAGAAGGAAGAAAAUUCCAGUAGCCGCCUCCUGAAUGCCACCCAAGUUGCCGAUAUUGAGGACAGUGCAGAUGAGGAAACUGGAGACAAUGAAAGUAUUGAUGACGGAAAUGAAGAUGAAAAUGAGUUAGAAAAGGAAAUAGAGGAAGAAAAUGAGGAAGAAAAGGAAACUGAGGAAGGAAAUGACGCGGAAAAGGAAAUGGAGGACAACAAUGAGGAACAGUGA